rnacentral:lncRNA from 1 species
GACAUGGCCUUAAUAUAGAGCUUCUUAGAAAAAUUGUUAGAAUUCUAUUGGUCGAUUUUUUUGAAUUUUUUUUUUCAUUUAUUUUAAUCAAUCGCUGUAAAUAUCCAAUCUCUCCUUAUUCAAUACCCGUUCGGGUAUUUUUCUACUUCGAUUCAUAUUUCAGUUCAGGUUUUUCGGAUCGGGUUCGGGUGCCACUUUGGAUAUCGGGUAAAGUGCCCACCCCUGCUAAUUAGGUUGUUUGUUUU